GGAAUGGGUGACGUUGUCAACAUCUGGGCAGGGCAGGGCAAGGCCAGCCCACCCUCCCUUGAACAGCCCUACCUCACCCACCGGCUCUCAGGCCCUGUGCAUGGCCUUCAGUUCUGCCCCUUUGAAGAUGUGCUGGGGGUGGGGCACACUGGGGGCAUCACCAGCAUGCUGGUCCCUGGGGCCGGUGAGCCCAACUUCGAUGGCCUGGAGAGUAAUCCAUACAGAAGCCGGAAGCAGCGCCAGGAGUGGGAGGUGAAGGCCCUGCUAGAGAAGGUACCUGCAGAGCUUAUUUGUCUGGACCCACGAGCCCUGGCCGAGGUGGAUGUCAUCUCCCUGGAGCAGGGAAAGAAGGAGCAGAUAGAGAGGCUGGGCUAUGACCCGCAGGCUAAGGCUCCCUUCCAGCCAAAGCCAAAGCAGAAGGGCCGCAGCUCCACGGCAAGCCUGGUGAAGAGGAAGAGGAAGGUCAUGGAUGAGGAACACAGGGUAAAUGGGCCUUCCCAGGCUGCACCCUCCUGCUUGUGCCUCUGCCCUUGUCAGCCUGCCACUUCUCACUCUGUGCCUGUGUCCUCCCCCUCUCUGGUCCCCAGGACAAGGUCCGGCAGAGCCUUCAGCAGCAGCAUCAUAAGGAAGCGAAGGAAGCGAAGGCCAAGCCCACGGGGGCCCGGCCAUCUGCCCUGGACAGAUUUGUGCGCUGAGCCAGACUCCAGGGUUGCCUGGGAACAGUCUCUCCCCAAGAUCACCUGUAGGGAAAUGAGUGUUCCCUGGAACAAGGAGGUGGGGGCAGUGUGGCCCCUUCCCCAACUGGGGGUGGACAGCUGUCUCUUGGGGUGGGUUGGUAUUAAAGAGGAAAGCGAUUUUUUGGA
rnacentral:sRNA from 1 species